GAAUCUUCGGAGGAAGUCUCCUUUGACUGAGUGGCGGACGGGUGAGUAACGCGUGGGUAACCUGCCUCACACAGGGGGAUAACAGUUGGAAACGACCGCUAAUACCGCAUAAGCCGGAAGGAUCGCAUGAUCCGGCCGGAAAAGAUUUAUCGGUGUGAGAUGGACCCGCGUCUGAUUAGCUAGUUGGCAGGGUAACGGCCUACCAAAGCGACGAUCAGUAGCCGGCCUGAGAGGGUGAACGGCCACAUUGGGACUGAGACACGAUCCACCUUUAAACGGGAGGUCGCAGUGGGGAAUAUUGCACAAUGGGCGAAACCCUGAUGCACCGACGCCGCGUGAGUGAACAAGUAUUUCGCUAUGUACAGCUCUAUCAGCAGGGAAGAAUAACUGACGGUACCUGAGUAAGAAGCCCCGGCUAACUACGUGCCAGCAUGCCGCGGUUAUACGUAUGGGGCAAGCGUUAUCCGGAUUUACUGGGUGUAAAGGGAGCGUAUACCGCCAUGCACGCCAGAUGUGAAAGCCCG
rnacentral:rRNA from 1 species